AUAACCUGUGGUAAUGAAGACCAGUUUAUUUAUAUUUACUUGUUUUAAAGUAUUUUUCUUUUCAAGAUAUGUACACAGGAGAAAAAAUUUUGUGACAGUUUUAGAGUCUUCACCAUUGCUCCUGAUCCAUUUUGUUGCUUCUGUGUACCUUUAACAGCUUCUGACACCUACAGAUGCAAGGUGGAGGUGAGGUGAAGGACUGCUGGUUUAUUUUUAUAUUGCCUUCUUGACUACCCUUCUGAUGCUUAGGAACAACCUGUCUUCUGUGUAUUAGCUGUGAAAGCUCAGAAGAACUUCCUAGACAGGAACAUGUGAGGACGCAGUCUUUUGUGAGCCAGUCAAGUGGAGACAGUUAUGGGAAAAUGCAGGAGAUCAGGAUGCAGUUGCACAAAUGCUGUAAGCUGGACGUCACUGAAAGAAGAGUGUGGUUUCUGUUUGGUUAACGGCGUGUGAAUGAACAAAGACUUCAGCCACUGAAGAUGAGAUGGCAAAAUAGAAACAAGGAUGCACAGCAAUUGGUAGAGAAAGAGUGAACCAAUGUGUCAGUGGCAUGGGUGUACAGAGCUUGAGAAGAUGCAAACAGAUGCCUUGGUUGAGCCCAUCUAUCAGGUGAUGCUCUAGCUCACGGUUUC